rnacentral:rRNA from 1 species
CCGGCGACCGGCGCACGGGUGAGUAACACGUAUGCGACCUGCCCCCCGCAGGGGGAUAACCGGGAGAAAUCCCGACUAAUACCGCGUAACGCCGCGGACCUGCAUGGGUCUGCGGCCAAAGGAAGCGAUUCCGGCGGGGGAUGGGCAUGCGGCGCAUUAGCUAGUCGGCGGGGUAACGGCCCACCGAGGCGACGAUGCGUAGGGGUUCUGAGAGGAAGGUCCCCCACACUGGUACUGAGGCACGGACCAGACUCCUACGGAAGGCAGCAG